GAUAAACGCUGGCGGCGUGCUUAAUGCAUGCAAGUCGAACGGGAGAUGGAGCUUCGGCUUCAUGUUCAGUGGCGGACGGGUUAGUAACGCGUGGGAACGUGCCCUUCUCUGCGGAAUAGCCACUGGAAACGGUGAGUAAUACCGCAUACGCCCUUCGGGGGAAAGAUUUAUCGGAGAAGGAUCGGCCCGCGUUAGAUUAGAUAGUUGGUGGGUAACGGCCUACCAAGUCUACGAUCUAUAGCUGGUUUUAGAGGAUGAUCAGCAACACUGGGACUGAGACACGGCCCAGACUCCUACGGGAGGCAGCAGUGGGGAAUCUUAGACAAUGGGCGCAAGCCUGAUCUAGCCAUGCCGCGUGUGUGAUGAAGGUCUUAGGAUCGUAAAGCACUUUCGCCAGGGAUGAUAAUGACAGUACCUGGUAAAGAAACCCCGGCUAACUCCGUG
rnacentral:rRNA from 1 species